UGUCAUUUUAAUAUCUUAACUUACAUAAGGAACCGGUUCCGCUCUCUUAGGAAGAACAGGCAUUAUGAAAGCAUUAAUUGAAAUAACAUCUCAGCUGUUAUUUUCAACGUGGAUGUAAAAAGUCAUUGAACAUAAAACGAAUGUGAAUGUAGGGUUCUUACUUUUGAGUGUCUCGGCAACUGAUUGAGGAUCUGAAAACGGUCGAAAGGAAGGAAGUUAUGAAUUUAUCAGAACCACUGAUUGAAAGCAGGACGAAGAAAAGGAUAUGCAGAGAGAAUUUCUGGAUUGGUAAAGAUCGUGCUCUCUCCUGGACAAUUGCAGUGUCUAUUUUACUCAUUAAUUUCAUCGCCAUUGGAUUGGGACGGAUGUCCAGCCUCCUCUACGUUGACUUCAUCCGAGAGUUUAAAGUCAACAGAAAAUAUGCCGCCGCCCCAUUCAGCGUUCAGCAAUCCACCAGAAAUUUAUUCGGUAUACACCUUUUAUUAUUAUUUUUUUACUAGCUGAAUACCCGUUCUU
rnacentral:lncRNA from 1 species